rnacentral:piRNA from 1 species
UGAUUAGAGAAGACUAGCUGUGUUAAGUAC